rnacentral:lncRNA from 1 species
CUUCUAGGGUCUCUCACCAGAACUUCAUGGAAAGAUAUAAAUUGCUAACAAGACUCCGACCUCGUACAUCCUCUGGCCUCAGGAGCCUGUGUCCUGCCAAAGGGUCCUCUGCAUCUGCUUUGGUGGCCUCUGUCUCCAGAGAGGCUCUAGGCAGCUAACUGUGGUCAGAGCCCUCAGAGCAGCCUCUGUGUGCCAAGGAGGCCACACUGCAGCCUCUACUACAGGACAUUCUCCAUGCUCUGCCAGCUUUAAUUCAGACAGCAACCACUCCCAGUGACCCAGCUAAGACUGCACAAAUCCCACUAUACUGUGGCAGGACAAAGAUUUUCAUGACUGACUCCAUGCUAGAGCUUCUGGAAUGUGGGCGUGCCCAGAUGCUAGAGCAGUGUGCCCGCUGCAUCCAGUGUGGCUGGAGGCGACACCGGCUCCAAAAGCAGGAGAAGCAGAGGCGGGCGGCCGUGAUCAUUCAGGCAGCUUUUCGGUCCUGGUUAACUCGGAAACACAUCAGAAGGUUACACAUAGCUGCCACAGUCAUCAAGCACGCAUGGCAUAAGUGGAGAAUCAGAAUGGCCUGUCUUGCCUCUAAAGAACUGGAUGGUAUGGAGGAAAAACUCAUGCCUCAGGCUCCCGGUACCCUGCGUUCCUCGCUGUCCCCAGCACACACUAGGUUCCUGGGAGCAAUAAUCCACCUCUGGCCCCUGGG